GACGAACGCUGGCGGCGUGCUUAACACAUGCAAGUCGAACGGAAAGGCCCUGCUUUUGUGGGGUGCUCGAGUGGCGAACGGGUGAGUAACACGUGAGUAACCUGCCCUUGACUUUGUGAUAACUUCAGGAAACUGGGGCUAAUACCGGAUAGGAGCUCCUGCUGCAUGGUGGGGGUUGGAAAGUUUCGGCGGUUGGGGAUGGACUCGCGGCUUAUCAGCUUGUUGGUGGGGUAGUGGCUUACCAAGGCUUUGACGGGUAGCCGGCCUGAGAGGGUGAACGGCCACAUUGGGACUGCGAUACGGCCCAGACUCCUACGGGAGGCAGCAGUGGGGAAUAUUGCACAAUGGGCGGAAGCCUGAUGCAGCAGCGCCGCGUGCGGGAUGACGGCCUUCGUGUUGUAAACCGCUUUCGCCUGUGACGAAGCGUGAGUGACGGUAAUGGGUAAAGAAGCACCGGCUAACUACGUG
rnacentral:rRNA from 1 species